rnacentral:rRNA from 1 species
GUAGGGUGCGAGCGUUGUCCGGAAUUAUUGGGCGUAAAGAGCUCGUAGGCGGCUUGUCGCGUCGGAUGUGAAAGCCCGGGGCUUAACUCCGGGUCUGCAUUCGAUACGGGCAGGCUAGAGUUCGGUAGGGGAGAUCGGAAUUCCUGGUGUAGCGGUGAAAUGCGCAGAUAUCAGGAGGAACACCGGUGGCGAAGGCGGAUCUCUGGGCCGAUACUGACGCUGAGGAGCGAAAGCGUGGGGAGCGAACAGGAUUAGAUACCCUGGUAGUCCACGCCGUAAACGUUGGGAACUAGGUGUGGGCGACAUUCCACGUCGUCCGUGCCGCAGCUAACGCAUUAAGUUCCCCGCCUGGGGAGUACGGCCGCAAGGCUAAA